rnacentral:rRNA from 1 species
AGAUUGAACGCUGGCGGCAGGCCUAACACAUGCAAGUCGAGCGGCAGCACGGGUACUUGUACCUGGUGGCGAGCGGCGGACGGGUGAGUAAUGCCUAGGAAUCUGCCUGAUAGUGGGGGAUAACGUUCGGAAACGGACGCUAAUACCGCAUACGUCCUACGGGAGAAAGUGGGGGAUCUUCGGACCUCACGCUAUCAGAUGAGCCUAGGUCGGAUUAGCUAGUUGGUAGGGUAAAGCCUACCAAGGCUACGAU